rnacentral:rRNA from 1 species
CCUACGGGUGGCAGCAGUGAGGAAUAUUGGUCAAUGGACGAGAGUCUGAACCAGCCAAGUAGCGUGAAGGAUGACUGCCCUAUGGGUUGUAAACUUCUUUUAUUUGGGAAUAAAAUGUUCCACGUGUGGGAUUUUGUAUGUACCAUAUGAAUAAGGAUCGGCUAACUCCGUGCCAGCAGCCGCGGUAAUACGGAGGAUCCGAGCGUUAUCCGGAUUUAUUGGGUUUAAAGGGUGCGUAGGUGGAUUGUUAAGUCAGUUGUGAAAGUUUGCGGCUCAACCGUAAAAUUGCAGUUGAAACUGGCAGUCUUGAGUACAGUAGAGGUGGGCGGAAUUCGUGGUGUAGCGGUGAAAUGCUUAGAUAUCACGAAGAACUCCGAUUGCGAAGGCAGUUCACUGGACUGCAACUGACACUGAGGUUCGAAAGUGUGGGUAUCAAACAGGAUUAGAUACCCCUGUAGUC